UUCACAAGGAGCCCACGCGGCACAAGACGUGGUGCGGGGCCUCCUGGCAAGGGGACGUGGCUCAGGGCGCUGGGUGGGUGGGGGUCUAUCGGAGAGGGCCGUGGCUCAGCAUCAGGCGCGCAUCCUAAGGCAGGGCGGGCGGGGCCUCCCGAAGAGAAAGCGCGGGUCCUGGGGCGGGGCCUCUAGAAGAGAGCGCGGCUGAGCUCGGAGCGAGGCGGGGCCGGCCGCGCGUACUUAAGCAGUCUUGGCGCUUGCGGACGCCCCGCCAUGGCUCUGAGGUGCAUCGUUUAUGUGCUGCGCUUCGGAACUCCCCGCGUCGCCCCACUGUCCACGGCGCCCGUGGCUCGCGAGCAGUCCGCGGCUGGCGAGCAGUCCGCCGCAGGCCGGGAGGCCACUCCAGGAUGCCGGGCGGCCGAAGGUGCGCGACCGCCGUUGCCCGUCGUGGACUUCGGCAACACUCAGGAGGCGUACCGCAGCCGGCGCAGCUGGGAGCUGGCGCGCAGCCUGCUGGUGUUGCGCUUGUGCGCCUCACCUGCGCUGCUGGCGCACCACGAGCAGCUGCUCCAUCUCACCAGGAGACUUCUGGGGCAAAGGCUGUUUGACAAGCUGAUGAAGAUGACCUUCUAUGGGCAGUUUGUGGCUGGUGAGGACCAGGAGUCCAUCCGGCCCCUGAUCCAGCACAACAGGGCCUUUGGCGUGGGCUCCAUCCUGGACUACGGGGUGGAGGAGGAUCUGAGCCCCCAGGAGGCGGAGCACAAGGAGAUGGAGUCCUGUACAUCGGCUGUAGAGAGGGAGGGCAGUGGUACAAGUAAGAGGGAGAAGCAGUACCAGGCCCACCGGGCCUUUGGAGACCGCAGGGAUGGUGUCAUCAGUGCCCGUACCUACUUCUAUGCCAAUGAAGCCAAGUGUGACAGCCACAUGGAGACGUUCUUGCGCUGCAUUGAGGCUUCAGGCAGAGCCAGUGAUGAUGGCUUCUCAGCCAUCAAGCUCACCGCAUUGGGGAGACCCCAGUUUCUGCUGCAGUUCUCAGACGUGCUGACCAAGUGGAGACGAUUCUUUCACCAAAUGGCUGCAGAGCAAGGGAAGGCUGGGCUGGCUGCCAUGGACAUGAAGCUGGAGGUGGCAGUGCUACAGGAAAGUGUGGCAAAGAUGGGCAUCGCAUCCAGGACGGAGAUUGAGAGCUGGUUCACUGCGGAGACCUUGGGCGUGUCUGGCACUCUGGACCUACUGGACUGGAGCAGCCUCAUCGACAGCAGGACUGAGCUCUCUAAGCACCUGGUGGUCCCUAACAUGCAGACAGGACAGCUGGAGCCUCUCCUGUCACGGUUCACGGAGGAGGAAGAGCUGCAGAUGACGAGGAUGCUGCAAAGAAUGGACAUCCUGGCCAAGAAAGCCACCGAGGUGGGCGUGCGGCUGAUGGUGGAUGCCGAGCAGACCUACUUCCAGCCAGCCAUCAGCCGCCUGACACUGGAAAUGCAGCGCAAGUUCAACAUAGAGAAGCCGCUCAUCUUCAACACAUACCAGUGCUACCUCAAGGACGCCUAUGACAACGUCACCCUGGAUGUGGAGCUGGCUCGCCGUGAGGGCUGGUGCUUUGGGGCCAAGCUGGUGCGGGGUGCAUAUAUGGCCCAGGAACGCGCCCGUGCUGCGGAGAUUGGCUAUGAGGACCCCAUUAACCCUACGUACGAGGCCACUCAUGCCAUGUAUCACAGGUGCCUCAAUUAUGUCCUGGAGGAGCUGAAGCACAAUGCCAAGGCCAAAGUGAUGGUGGCCUCUCACAACGAGGACACAGUUCGCUUCACGCUGCGCAGGAUGGAGGAGCUGGGCCUGCACCCUGCUGACCGUCAGGUGUACUUUGGACAGCUACUGGGCAUGUGUGAUCAGAUCAGCUUCCCACUAGGACAACCUAUCCCCAUUCCUGUCCUUGUACACAAGGAAGACGUCUCUGGUGAUUUGGAAGAUUCUGAUACAUAGAUCAACAAUAGUUCAUCACAGAGGCCCCACUGAGACCCAGUCUGAGCUGCCUGUUGCUGCAAGACCCCAACCUUCAAGCAAGUGUGGUGCCCACAGAAGCCCCUUGUGCCUUGCUGCUUGCAGCUUGUCGAGUCCCUGAUGCCACGCUUAAGGCUGCCUUCCUUCAACAUCUUCCUAGAAGCUUCUUCAUGAUCUUCAACUGGAGAUUUUUCUGUGGGAACAGACAUCAGAGCAAAACUGCUCUUACACGUCAUUGGAAUGGGCCCCAAUCAGUGUAUUUUCUAGGAUCAUGGCUCAGAUUACAAAAAGAGAGGAUCCUAAGUGAUUCAAACACAGGACUCACAAGAAAGGCAUCUGUGCUCAAGACAAUCUACUGGCUUUCCCCAGCAGUGCUUCAGCAGCAUCAAGAUGGACAUCUUUCCAAACAACAGGGUCGAGCCACAAAUAACACCCCAAUGAAUGACUACUCCAUUGAAGAAGGUAGUGUGGGUAUAAAAUCAGUAAGUAGAUUCAAGAGGAGUAAGGGUAGUUUGUACAGUGGAGACUGGAUGUUGGUGAGGAUGAAAGGAGCAGGGAAGGUGUACACUCAGAGGCAGGGAGCCCCUGCCCGGUCCUAGCCAUGCCUUUAUCCAGGCUGCUCAGAUGGUGGGUCAGAUUGUUCAUCAGGGAGACACCGGGGCCUCUAGACUUCAUCUUCCAGAGCACCAACCUAGCAGACCCCUUUCCUAACUACAAUCAACUGCUCAUCACCCAGGUUUGGUCAGUUGAAGAUGACGCUAAUUCACUGGGCAACUGUCCUGUGGACAGUUGGUUUGGAAUGUUCUGGGUUCUGAGACAUUUGGGAGUCAAACAGACCAGUGGUCAUUCAGGGUGGUCACCUGGCCACCAGCAAGGCAGCUAGUAGCAUCAAGUACUGGGGGGCACGGGAUGGGGAGAUGGGGAUGUGUUUUUCAUUCUCACACCUCCCCAGGCCCCAUCCAUCAGGGGGAAAAGGCAUUGUUUUCUGGGUCAGGGAUUGAAAUAGAGAGGCAGGAGUUGGGUUGGGUUUUGGGCCAUUCUCUUGGGCCAGCACCUCCUUAGGGAGCCAGCUGUCUCCCUGCAGCAACCUUGCGGCCAAAGGAUGUGGGCCAGGGAGUGAGGAAAGGGCUUGGUUUCAGUAUGCAGGGCAUGAUCUCCUAUCCAGGUGAUCAGAGAUCUCUGUCCUCAGGGAAUUGUCUGUAUCCCCUGCCUCUGAACCAUAAGUCAUCAGUGCUGUGAUUCUGAGUGAGCCACUUAAUCUCUCUAAAUGUCGAUGCCCUGAACCAUAAAAUAUAGGUCCCAGCCCCUUCUCUGCCCACCCCACAGUCCAUUCAUGAGCAGCACCAGAAUUAACAGGUUUUCUUCACUAUUAGAAGUGUAAUAUUGAAGUCUCCUAGUUUUAUUGUUGAGAGAUCAGUUUCUCCUUUUAAUUGUCAGUUCCAUGUACUUUGGCACUCUCCUGUUGAGUGCAAAAUGUUUACAAUGAUCUCUUUGAAGGAUGGACACUUUGUCACUGUACCAUGUCCUUCUUUGUCUCUAGAAAAAAACUGUCAUAAAGCUUAUUUGUCUUCACAAAGCCAGUCUAGUUCUCUUGAUUACUAUUUGCUUGGUAUAUAUUUUCCAUCCUUUUUACUUUCAAUGCCUUUGUGUCUUAGGUUUAAAGCAUGACUCUCCUGUAGAUGGCAUAGAGAGAGAUUGUUGUUUUCUACCCAUUCUGUCAAUAUCUGCCUCUUAAUUGGAUGUAAACUCCAUGUGCCCUUAAGUACUCAUCAGGUAGCAUCGAAAUCUAUUGUUUUUUCAUUAUUUCUGUAUAUGUUAUAUCUUCUUGUUUUAAUAUUCCUCCAUUCCUGCUUUCUUCUGUGUUAUUUUCUAGUGUACCAACUAAAUUCCCAUGUUGUUUCUUUUACUAUAUAUUCAGGGAGUACUUAGUAGUUUCACUGGAGAUUACAACUAAUGUCUUAAUUUCCAACAUUCUAAUUGGAUUCAUACCAGAUUAAUUUCAAUGGCAUACAGACAUUUGACCCCUUUAAAAUUUUUUUUCACUUGCUUAUUUUAGAGGGAGAGAGAGCAUGAGGGGGGGAGUGGAGCAGAGAGAGAGAGAGAGAGAGAGAGAGAGUCUCAAGCAGGUUCUGCACUGAUUGUGGACUCUGGGCUUGAUCCCCUGACGCUGAGAUCAUGACUUGAGCUGAAAUCAAGAGCCAGACGCUCAUCUGUCUGAACACCCAGGCACCCCUAGAGACUUGACUCUUAAUAUAUCUAAUUGAUGUCCUCUCUUUUUGCCAUUAUUUUCACUCAAAUUACCUCUUUAUACAGUCUGUGCUCAUUAACAUAUAUAUUUACAUUUUCUGUAUUUAUAAUAUAUGCAAUUUAUAUAUAUGUAUAAUAUUAACUUCAUAGUUUUAAAUUAGAAGAAAGUCUAUUGUUUAUAUACUUAGGCUAUAUAUAGUUUAUGUGCUUAUACACUUAUACAUUUGUACUUUUUUAUAUUUACCUAUGUAACUAUUUCUUCAUGUAGAAAUAAAUGCCUUUGCAUUUUA